rnacentral:lncRNA from 1 species
GGUGCAAUAACCAAAGUGAUAAAGCCUUAGCCUACAAUCCAGUCUACCAUGCUAGGUCCAAACACAUAGAAGUAGAUGUGCAUUGUAUCAGCGAAAAUAAUUCAUAAACAUGCAGUUUCCGUUGACAUUCAAUCGACAUGCAGUUUAGCGGCAGUUUUUAAUCUCCGCAAAUAUUUGCAGUGAUUUUUUAUCUACUGCAAACAGAAAAUAG